AGCCCCGCAGUCGGGCGAGCGCGGGAGCAGCGCAGUAGACGGAGCGCGCCCGGCCGAGCGGGCCAUGGCCGCGGAGGCCGCCGCCGCAGGUGGUGGGGCGCGGUGAGGCAAGCGCGGCGCCCCCUCUGGGGCGGAUGGAACGCGGCUUGGCGGGCGGGCAGUGCCGGUGUCCGCGGCUGGAAUGGUGCUGGCGGCGGCGGUCGGUGCCUGCGUUCUGAAGCCCGAGAGGAGCCACAAUGGAGACGCCGCCGCUGCCUCCCGCAUGCACAAAGCAGGGUCAUCAGAAGCCUCUCGAUUCAAAAGAUGAUAAUACCGAAAAACACUGCCCAGUGACAGUGAAUCCUUGGCAUAUGAAGAAAGCUUUUAAAGUCAUGAACGAAUUAAGAAGUCAAAAUUUGCUAUGCGAUGUCACAAUUGUGGCAGAAGACAUGGAAAUCUCUGCUCAUAGAGUGGUGCUGGCCGCCUGUAGUCCUUAUUUUCAUGCCAUGUUUACAGGUGAGAUGAGUGAAAGCCGAGCAAAGAGAGUUAGAAUAAAAGAGGUAGAUGGCUGGACCCUGAGGAUGCUAAUUGAUUACGUUUACACUGCAGAAAUUCAGGUUACAGAAGAAAAUGUACAGGUACUUCUUCCAGCAGCUGGUCUCUUACAGUUACAGGAUGUGAAGAAGACCUGCUGUGAAUUUUUGGAAUCCCAGCUUCACCCUGUCAACUGCUUAGGAAUCCGGGCUUUUGCUGAUAUGCAUGCAUGUACCGACCUUCUGAACAAGGCCAAUACCUAUGCAGAGCAUCAUUUUGCAGAUGUCGUACUUAGUGAGGAAUUUCUCAAUCUUGGCAUUGAACAAGUGUGCAGCUUAAUCUCAAGUGACAAACUUACCAUUUCCUCAGAAGAGAAGGUAUUUGAAGCAGUAAUUGCAUGGGUGAACCAUGACAAGGAUGUGAGGCAAGAGUUUAUGGCCCGACUGAUGGAACAUGUGCGGUUACCCUUGCUUCCUCGGGAAUAUUUAGUUCAGAGGGUUGAAGAGGAAGCAUUGGUCAAGAAUAGCAGUGCUUGCAAAGAUUACCUCAUUGAAGCAAUGAAGUAUCAUCUGCUGCCGACAGAGCAGCGUAUAUUAAUGAAGAGUGUCCGGACCCGGCUGAGGACACCCAUGAACCUUCCCAAAUUGAUGGUGGUGGUUGGGGGCCAAGCACCAAAGGCUAUCCGGAGUGUGGAAUGCUAUGACUUUAAAGAAGAAAGGUGGCACCAAGUAGCAGAGUUGCCUUCCAGGAGGUGCAGGGCAGGGAUGGUCUACAUGGCUGGACUUGUUUUUGCUGUUGGUGGCUUUAAUGGCUCAUUAAGAGUUCGCACUGUAGAUUCCUACGACCCUGUGAAGGACCAGUGGACCAGUGUUGCUAACAUGAGAGACCGGAGAAGCACUUUGGGAGCUGCUGUGUUAAAUGGGUUGUUAUACGCUGUGGGAGGCUUUGAUGGGAGUACAGGUUUAUCGUCUGUGGAAGCAUACAACAUAAAGUCUAAUGAGUGGUUUCAUGUAGCUCCCAUGAACACAAGGAGGAGCAGUGUUGGUGUGGGUGUUGUUGGAGGUUUGCUCUAUGCUGUAGGAGGUUAUGACGGAGCAUCACGUCAGUGUCUUAGCACAGUAGAAUGCUAUAAUGCUACAACAAAUGAGUGGACCUAUAUAGCAGAAAUGAGCACCAGACGGAGUGGAGCAGGUGUUGGUGUGUUAAACAAUUUAUUGUAUGCUGUAGGAGGUCAUGAUGGCCCUUUAGUACGAAAAAGCGUUGAAGUAUAUGAUCCCACCACUAAUGCAUGGAGACAGGUUGCAGAUAUGAACAUGUGCAGAAGAAAUGCAGGAGUUUGUGCAGUUAAUGGUCUGUUAUAUGUUGUUGGAGGAGACGAUGGUUCCUGUAACUUGGCAUCGGUAGAGUAUUAUAACCCAACAACCGAUAAAUGGACAGUUGUGUCAUCGUGUAUGAGCACAGGGAGAAGUUAUGCAGCCUACUCAAUGUGAAGAGACAAGGAUGAAGACCUUGAUGAUGAUCCACUUCCCCUUAAUAAAUAGGGUCACAGUUAUUGAUAAACCAUUAUGAGCCUGAAAGACAUUUUCAGCAUAUUUAUACAUGAGAAACAGCCUUCAACAAGUAUUUCUGAAGUGACUGAGAAUCUAGCACUUCUCCACUUGGUAGCUGCACUUUAAGUCUCAGCAGAAGAUAAGAUCGUCUGCCUUUAUAGGCCUCGGAUACUGAAGAUUAUUUUUGGUAGAAGCACCGUGUAGGCUUUUUCUGCAAUGAGCAGCAGCUGACUGAAUUUUCAUAAGAAACUUGAACUGCAGGACUUAAUCUGUAGUCUUUAGACAACAGUUGCUUUCAUAAAGACUAGUUCUUAUCAACCUUGAAUGACUACAGAUUAUUUUGUGAAGGAAGAUGAAGUCACGUGUGUUCUUGUAAAAUUAAUUUUAUCUUUAUUUCUUUAAAAAUCUGUAUACCCAGGAACUGAAAAUCUUUGAACAGAUAUUAAAAUCUACGUAAGUAUACAAACUAGUUGAGGGAUAAACUGUUUGCUUUUAUAAAAUAACUUUGAUUACAUGAAUAUAAUAAAUUAUAUGCAUAUAAAUGUGUGUCUAUAUGCUUUCCUUUAAAUAUGUUUGAAAAGAUGUUUGAAACUUGAUUAUACUAUUUAUAAUUGGCACAGUACUUUGAAUUAUGCCAGUACUACAUUGUAAAACAGAGUUGUAUUUUUUGAUAUUUAACAAUGCUUAACACUUUAAAUGCCACUUCUGAGGAAUGGACCUGGUGUAACACACUUGAAUAUGUGUGAUGCCAAACUUUUUAAAAUAAAAUAUAAAUUAUGCUUAUUUAUUAUUUUCUUUAGUUUAAUCUUGGUCAUGUUUUGGUGUGUAUUUUUAAUUUUUUUCUUAAAGUAACACUUUGGCAUGAACAUUACUGCAGGUUUUUGAUGAAUAUAAUGAAUGUAUGGAAUUCAACUGAAUUUGCAUGGUCUUAAGAACUUUUUCUGUGUGUAUAAAUUUAGCUGCUAUUAACAGAAGAGAGAACUUUCUGUGAGUAGCCAUGUGUGUUGAUCAGAUACAGUUUUUCUGAGAUCUUCAAUUAAUCUCACUUUAAAAAUGACCAAAACAUGUCUUUCUUGAAUUAUCUUUGAAUAAAAGUUUGUAUAUUAUUUGUU